ACUCGGCGGGCCGCGCGAUCACGGGCGGUGCCGCUCGUCGAGCGCCGCGAGUUCGGCCGCGAACGCCGCCGGUGCGAGGCAGGCGUCGAGUGCC
rnacentral:tRNA from 1 species